AUGCUUGUUACUGCAUAUUCUGAUGCCGACUGGGCAGGGUGUGCUGAUGACAAAAGGUCCACAAGUGGUCUUGCUGUGUUUCUGGGAACAAAUCUUGUGUCAUGGAGUGCAAGAAAACAUGCCACUGUCUCUAGAUCAAGUACAGAGGUUGAGUAUAAAGCUCUGGCUAAUGCUACAGCUGAGGUAAUGUGGAUACAGACUUUACUAUAUGAGCUUGGAAUCAAGGGUCCACAUGCUGCGAGAUUAUGGUGUGAUAAUAUGGUGCAAUCUAUCUCUCAGCUAAUCCUAUUUUCCAUGCACGUACCAAACAAAUUGAAGUUGAUUUCCACUUUGUCAGAGAGAGAGUAG
rnacentral:rRNA from 1 species